rnacentral:rRNA from 1 species
GGGCCCGCACAAGCGGUGGAGCAUGUGGUUUAAUUCGAUGAUACGCGAGGAACCUUACCAGGGCUUAAAUGGAAAAUGACAGGGGCAGAGACGCCCCCUUCUUCGGACAUUUUUCAAGGUGCUGCAUGGUUGUCGUCAGCUCGUGCCGUGAGGUGUCAGGUUAAGUCCUAUAACGAGCGCAACCCCUACCGUUAGUUGCCAGCGAGUAAUGUCGGGGACUCUAACGGAACUGCCGGUGCAAACCGUGAGGAAGGUGGGGACGACGUCAAAUCAUCACGGCCCUUACGUCCUGGGCCACACACGUGCUACAAUGGUAGGUACAGAGGGAAGCCACCCCGCGAGGGGGAGCGGAUCUAUAAAGCCAAUCUCAGUUCGGAUUGGAGUCUGCAACUCGACUCUAUGAAGCUGGAAUC